UACAGAGGGGCAAGCGUUGUUCGGAAUUACUGGGCGUAAAGGGCGCGUAGGCGGCCUGCUAAGUCGAACGUGAAAUCCCUGGGCUCAACCCAGGAACUGCGUCCGAUACUGGUUGGCUUGAAUCCGGGAGAGGGAUGUGGAAUUCCAGGUGUAGCGGUGAAAUGCGUAGAUAUCUGGAGGAACACCGGUGGCGAAGGCGACAUCCUGGACCGGUAUUGACGCUGAGGCGGCGAAAGCGUGGGGAGCAAACAGG
rnacentral:rRNA from 1 species